rnacentral:rRNA from 1 species
GAUGAACGCUAGCGGCAGGCCUAAUACAUGCAAGUCGGACGGGAUCCAUUGAUAGCUUGCUAUCAAUGGUGAGAGUGGCGCACGGGUGCGUAACGCGUGAGCAACCUGCCUCCAUCAGGGGGAUAGCCUCUCGAAAGAGAGAUUAACACCGCAUAAUAUCAACAGUUCGCAUGUUCAGUUGAUUAAAUAUUUAUAGGAUGGAGAUGGGCUCGCGUGACAUUAGCUAGUUGGUAGGGUAACGGCUUACCAAGGCGACGAUGUCUAGGGGCUCUGAGAGGAGAAUCCCCCACACUGGUACUGAGACACGGACCAGACUCCUACGGGAGGCAGCAGUAAGGAAUAUUGGUCAAUGGGCGGAAGCCCGAACCAGCCAUGCCGCGUGCAGGAUGACUGCCCUAUGGGUUGUAAACUGCUUUUGUCCAGGAAUAAACCUAAAUACGAGUAUUUAGCUGAAUGUACUGGAAGAAUAAGGAUCGGCUAACUCCGUG